rnacentral:misc_RNA from 1 species
CCGCGGUCAUCACUGCUGACACCCGCGCAUGUGCACAGAAACCCGCGACGAACAUGCUCGCGUACAUCGUCGUUUUCCCAAAGCUCGACUUACCGAAGCAUCCGCGUGUCGCGAAGCGACUGUGCCGGAAACUCAUCGUUUCCAACACGGAAGCUCGGCUGGUAGGGUACUAGUGGUACAGCAGACGGUUUAGGACACCCAACAUGCGCUGACACAUUAUCCGGCCGCCAUGCACGCGUGUCGCUCGUUCUUAUGCCUGUCUCCUGCAGUCCUCCGUUUCUGCCCGACUGGUUGCGACCUCACCCCUUUCGCCUGCACCGAACGUGAGCACCGUCUCGAAUUUUUUUGGGGUCCAUCCCCCCUUCCUCCUUCUCGUAAGAGCCACCAAAUUGACUUCCUUUCACGGACGCUCAGACAGGCAGAGAUACAGGGAGAGAGGGAGGGGGAGCCCACACAUUCGGCUUGCGUUUUCGAUGCGGUGUCGCGUUGACGCGUCAUCGUUGCGACCGGCUUUCCUUUUCCUUCAUCUCCGUCUGCGUCCCUCGUGGUCUUUGGUGAGGUCACUCACCAACGUUUGUGCGCCCGCUUUCGCUUGUUGUUCUUUGUUCGAUUCCUUCGAUCGGUUCCUUUUUUUCGUUGUGCGUUUCUGAACCCCUUCCUGCUCUCUCCUGCUCCCACUUCCGCAGUGAUGCGCUUGACUUGUGCAUGCUUGCUGCUAUGCUUUCCUCAACUGGCUUCCCCUCCUCCGCCUCUUCCGCGGACACAGGUGGGAGUGGGGGGGGGUGCUUCCGUCCUCCCAUCUUGGAGUCGCCUCCAGGAUGCGCAUGGGGCUCGUCCGAGGGGUGCGGGAGGCACCACGACAGAAGCAGCAACGGCGGUAACCCCGGCAGACAUUCGGGGAGGGGGCCGAGAGUGUAUACCCCUGCCCAGCUCCACUUGUGGCUUCUCCAGGCUAUCG